AGUGAACGCUGGCGGUAGGCCUAACACAUGCAAGUCGAACGGCAGCACAGUAAGAGCUUGCUCUUACGGGUGGCGAGUGGCGGACGGGUGAGGAAUACAUCGGAAUCUACUUUUUCGUGGGGGAUAACGUAGGGAAACUUACGCUAAUACCGCAUACGACCUACGGGUGAAAGCAGGGGUUCUUCGGACCUUGCGCGAUUGAAUGAGCCGAUGUCGGAUUAGCUAGUUGGCGGGGUAAAGGCCCACCAAGGCGACGAUCCGUAGCUGGUCUGAGAGGAUGAACAACCACACUGGAACUGAGACACGGUCCAGACUCCUACGGGAGGCAGCAGUGGGGAAUAUUGGACAAUGGGCGCAAGCCUGAUCCAGCCAUACCGCGUGGGUGAAGAAGGCCUUCGGGUUGUAAAGCCCUUUUGUUGAGAAAGAAAAGCAGCAGGUUAAUACCCCGCUGUUCUGACGGUACCCAAAGAAUAAGCACCGGCUAACUUCGUG
rnacentral:rRNA from 1 species